rnacentral:ncRNA from 1 species
UAUCAGUUUCAGGGAAGGUGCAAUUCCUUACUGGCGGUAAUGGGCGCACACACGUCGCCUUAGCCCGCGAGCCCGAAGGGUCGAUCCGGUGAGAUUCCGCGAGCCAACGGUAUAGUCCGGAUGAAAGAAACGAGUA